UUGUGUUUGAAUGGAUUUUUGGCAAGUUU
rnacentral:piRNA from 1 species